UACGGGGGGGGCAAGCGUUGUUCGGAAUUACUGGGCGUAAAGGGCUCGUAGGCGGUCAACUAAGUCGGACGUGAAAUCCCUCGGCUUAACCGGGGAACUGCGUCCGAUACUGGAUGACUUGAGUUCGGGAGAGGGGUGCGGAAUUCCAGGUGUAGCGGUGAAAUGCGUAGAUAUCUGGAGGAACACCGGUGGCGAAGGCGGCAUCCUGGACCGACACUGACGCUGAGGAGCGAAAGCCAGGGGAGCAAACGGG
rnacentral:rRNA from 1 species